rnacentral:rRNA from 1 species
GACGAACGCUGGCGGCGUGCUUAACACAUGCAAGUCGAACGGAAAGGCCCUGCUUUUGUUGGGUGCUCGAGUGGCUAACGGGUGAGUAACACGUGAGUAACCUGCCCUUUACUUUGGGAUAACUUCAGGAAACUGGGGCUAAUACCUGAUAUUAGCUCCUGCUGCAUGGUGGGGGUUGGAAAGUUUCGGCGGUUGGGGAUGGACUCGCGGCUUAUCAGCUUGUUGGUGGGGUAGUGGCUUACCAAGGCUUUGACGGGUAGCCGGCCUGAGAGGGUGACCGGCGACAUUGGGACUGAGAUACGGCCCAGAAGCAGACGGGAGGCAGCAGUGGGGAAUAUUGAACAAUGGGCGGAAGCCUGAUGCAGCAACGCCGCGUGCGGGAUGACGGCCUUCGGGUUGUAAACCGCUUUCGCCUGUGACGAAGCGUGAGUGACGGUAAUGGGUAAAGAAGCACCGGCUAACUACGUG